rnacentral:rRNA from 1 species
GUUGAACGCUGGCGGCAGGCCUAACACAUGCAAGUCGAGCGGAUGAAGGGAGCUUGCUCCUGGAUUCAGCGGCGGACGGGUGAGUAAUGCCUAGGAAUCUGCCUGGUAGGGGGGGAUAACGUCCGGAAACGGGCACUAAUACCGCAUACGUCCUGAGGGAGAAAGGGGGGGGGCUUCGGACCUCGCGCUAUCAGGUGAGCCUAGGUCGGAUUGGCUAGUUGGUGGGGUAAAGGCCUACCAAGGCGACGAUCCGUAACUGGUCUGAGAGGAUGAUCAGUCACACUGGAACUGAGACACGGUCCAGACUCCUACGGGAGGCAGCAGUGGGGAAUAUUGGACAAUGGGCGAAAGCCUGAUCCAGCCAUGCCGCGUGUGUGAAGAAGGUCUUCGGAUUGUAAAGCACUUUAAGUUGGGAGGAAGGGCAGUACGUUAAUACCUUGCUGUUUUGACGUUACCAACAGAAUAAGCACCGGCUAACUUCGUG